GCCCGGAUGGUGAAAUCGGCAGACACAGCGGACUUAAAAUUCGCAGAGAGCAAUCUCGUGGGGGUUCAAGUCCCCCUCCGGGCACCA
rnacentral:tRNA from 1 species